rnacentral:lncRNA from 1 species
UGUCCCUGGGUGUAGCAUCACAGCAGAAUCUCUCAUGAUGGGGAAGGAGUCUAUUUUCCUAUUUCUUUAUUUCCUCGGCUGCGUGCAACAACUACUUAAACAAGGUGGAUGUUUCUUUUACUCUGCUGUAAAUGUCUGGGUGAAGAUACUUCAGGUGGGCGUUCUUUGAAGACCUUCUUUUCUGCCUCUGAGUCAUAAAGUCUCCUGAUCUCCAGAACCCGGCUCACCUGCACGAGUAGCAUCUGUCCUGCUGUCACCUUCUGAAGCGUGUACUGCUGCCAGCCCGGCCAGAGCACCUGACAUCCGCCCGACCCUCCCCACCUUGGUGGUGACCCUGAGUUUCUCUGCCUUCUGCCUUCCCCAGGAUGAUGUCUGCUAUGCGUUUAUCAUCAGUCGUCAUCUUGUGAUCCACAAACUUAUUUCUUUCCACCUGUUCCAUGGCUUCUUCAUGCGCUCUGGAUGUCAUUUUGGCCUUUUGCAGAGCAGCUGCAAGCUGAGAUUGGCCAGCUUCUCCUUCCGGUCUGGGGAUGUAUUGGGUCGUUGAUUCAUUAACACCAAACUGGGCUCAGCCGCACUGUCACUCAUGCCCACUCCAGCUUCUCUGACACGCGUACCUUAGGGUGCAUCACUGCCCUCCUGCUUAGGAGCUCUAGCAGCCACCAGCACUGAAGCAUCCAGGUCACUUUCAACAGAAAAAUCAUUAAAAUGCACAUGCACGUGAAAAACAUGGCACUGAAUAAGUAGACCGAGAAAAGGACGCUUGCUUUACAGCACUGAGCUGAAACAAGAAGGCUGUGUGGUUGCGUUCAGCCUCCUCGGGACCAUGUGUGGCAAGUGUCUGACAAUGACCGCCGACAGCGUGCCUACUGACUCUGGUGUUACAGUAGACUUUAGCAAGUAGGUAAAUUCACAAAUACAGAAUCCACCAGCAGCAAUGAUGAACUAUACGAAUUUGCUUCCGAACGCUCAUUUCUCUUUCUUUGUCUCUUGGGAUGUUUCUGCCUCACGACCACAUUUUAUUACUGUAGUUUUGAAUUGUGUGACUAUUCAAGAGAAUGGAUGUCUCCCCGGUUUGCUUUCGUUUUCAAAAUUGAUUUUCCUAUUUUGUGCACUUUUAUUUUUCUAUGAAUAUGUAAUGAUACAGUUUUUGAACCCUCAAAUAAUCCAGCUGGAAUCAUGCGAGGCAUUGAUUCAAUUUACAGAUUAAUUAGGAAAUGAGUGACUUUAGAAGGUUAAGUUAUCCAUUGAUGAGCAUGGUAUAUCUCAAUAUUUAUUCAGAUUUUCUUUUGUAUCAACUAAAACUAUCUACAUUUUUUCUUUUACAUUAUUUAUUAGGAAUAUUCUUAGG